UACGGAGGGUGCAAGCGUUAUCCGGAUCCACUGGGUUUAAAGGGUGCGUAGGUGGGCAGGUAAGUCAGUGGUGAAAUCUCCGGGCUUAACCCGGAAACUGCCGUUGAUACUAUCUGUCUUGAAUAUCGUGGAGGUGGGCGGAAUAUGUCAUGUAGCGGUGAAAUGCGUUGAUAUCAGAAGGAACGCCGGCGGCGAAAGCGGCGCACUGGACCUUUUCUGACGCUGAGGCGCGAAAGCUAGGGGAGCAAACGGG
rnacentral:rRNA from 1 species